GACCGUUUAGUUGAAGAGGACAAGAACCUCAUAAGCCCUCUUGUGGUUUAAUUUGCUGUUGCUUCGCCCAAUCCGACCUGCUUCCUCGAACUCAAUGCUCCAUUCCUCUCUGCCUCAAGCCAACCUCCCAAAUUCAGUAAGCAAAUCUCUGCUCAAUUUCUUGGCACAUCACGUCGUAGCCCUGAAAUGGAACUCUGCAUACUGUUUUAAUUCCAUUUAAGAAGAAGAAGAAGAAGAAGCAAACGCAUUAAAAACAUGCUCUCUUUACUGUCCUUAAAGAAAACAUAUAGUACUAAUCACCAUCUCUUCCAAAAUCCCAAAAGACUAUUUGUUGCUCUUAGCUCAACAGCAACAUCAACUCAAUCCAUAGAAGUUGAAAGAAUUGCAAGAAUAAUCAAUGACCAUCCAUUUCCAAAUCAACCUCUACAUCCAACUCUCACCCGCCAUAUUCCACCAACUCUCCUUACCACCGCUUUUGUUGAAAACGUUCUUGGCCGCCUCUUUGCUGCUCACUCUAAUGGCCUUAAAGCCUUGGAAUUCUUCAAAUAUUCGCUCAAUAAUCAAACCCAUUUUUCCCCAAGUCCCGAUUCCUUCGAAAAGACGCUUCACAUACUUGCCCGGAUGAGAUAUUUUGAUAAAGCUUGGGAUUUAAUGGUUGAAAUUGGAAAGACGCAUCCUUUUUUGCUUACCCUUAAGUCUAUGAGCAUAAUGUUAUGUAAAAUUGCUAAAUUUCGAUCUUAUGAGGAGACCCUUGACGCGUUUGAGAAAAUGGAGAAGAGGGUUUUUGUUCGGAGGAAAUUUGGCGUUGAAGAGUUUAAUGUGUUACUUCGGGCAUUUUGCACUGUGAGGAAAUUGAAAGAGGCGAAAUCUGUGUUUGUAAAGAUGCAUGAGAGGUUCCCUCCUAAUGUUAAGACCAUGAAUAUUUUGCUGUUGGGGUUCAAGGAAUCUCGGGAUGUUACUGCAAUGGAGUUGUUUUAUCAUGAGAUGGUUAAGAGGGGGUUUAAGCCUAGUAGCUCAAGUUAUGGUAUUAGGAUUGAUGCUUAUUGUAAAAAGGGUUAUUUUGCUGAUGCUUUGAGGAUUUUUGAAGAAAUGGAGAAGGCUAAUUGCUUGCCGACAUUGGAAACAGUCACCACUUUGAUUCACGGAGCAGGGGUUGCUCGAAGCGCAAUGAAAGCCAGGGAGUUGUUUGAUGAAAUUCCUAAGAGGAAUUUGCAAGCUGAUACUGGGGCAUAUAAUGCACUGAUUAGCUCACUAGUUAAGUGUAGGGAAGUAAAGUCUGCCAUUCAGUUGAUGGAUGAGAUGGAAAAGAACAAUAUUCAUUAUGAUGAUAUGACCUAUCAUACAAUGUUCUUAGGCUUGAUGAAAUCAGGUAGUAUUGAGGGGGUUUGUGAGCUUUAUCACAAGAUGAUUGAUAGAAAUUUUGUUCCCAAAACACGAACUGUGGUUAUGCUGAUGAAAUUCUUCUGCGUGAAUAGCCAGAUUGAUCUGGGUUUGAAUUUUUGGGGAUAUCUGGUGGGGAAGGGGUAUUGUCCUCAUCAUCAUGCAUUGGACCUUUUGGUAACAGGAUUGUGUUCCAGGGGGAGGUCGCAUGAAGCUUUUAAGUGCUCCAAGCAAUCAUUGGAGAGAGGAAUCCAUGUCAGCGAAGCAGUGUAUCGAAUGUUGGAGAGAUUCUUACUACAAUCUAACAUGACGGACAAGCUGGGGGAGCUCAAUCAGAUGAUAGAGAAGUUACAAUCUGUUUUGCCCCCAUCAAGUGGGAAUUAUAUUCAUAGUCCUUCCUCUGUGAAUCAAUCUUAUGAUAGUGUUCUGUGAUGGUAAUGGAAGUCAGCAAAUGAGGGCAAUGUUGAGGGUACUGACUGUAAGAUCACAGGGAGAAAAUAAAAUUGACCCAAGAAAUUAAGACCAUAGUAUCUGGUCAGGUGCUCAAUCCAUGCAAGGUCCCAGAUGCUGGUUGUUUAAACAAACUUUUGUUGAAUGCUCCAAGAGAAUUGAGGGUAGAGAAUUUGGAUAAGAUGUGGGUCCAAAAGCUCUGGUACUGAUAAAUAGACCAUAAGGAAUGUGAGGAUACAUCUUUGUGAUAUGAUUGGAAAGAAUGAAGAGGAGAAAAUGGAAGAGAAAGGCAGAAUUCGUUCCAUCGUAGAUGAAAGCUCCAAAUGGGACAUUCUGAAGUUUCAGCUCAACAUCUCCAGGCUCUGAUAGCAGGAAGUCCACCCAGCAAGGCUGCAUCACAUAAUUUGGUGGCCACACUCAGUGAGAAAGUGUUCAAAGGCAAAUCAUUACUUGUCUCUAUUGGCACAUGAGAAUGAACCCUGAGGCUCCAUAGCUAUCCUUUUGCAGAUGCAAAACCUCAAAAAACAAAAAAACAAAAAAACCGACAUUGAGAUAUAGAACUCAAACCAACAGGCUGCAAAGUCCUAAAUCCUAAUGUUAAGCUCUUUGCUCAUGCUGUAAAGGCCUGCAAUCUACGAAACUCCAACCAUGGGGUAGAGUAGUAACCAGUAACCACAACCACGCAAGGAGAGCAAGAUUCAACAUUUUGAAAGAUUUUUUUUUUAAUUCCUUUGUAAACACGUUGAGUUAAUCAUAAAUUAAUCCUUAUACGUUA